rnacentral:rRNA from 1 species
UCAAGCUAAAAAGAGCACAGGGUGAAUGCCUUGGCACCAGGAGCCGAUGAAGGACGCGAUAAGCUGCGAUAAGCUACGGUGAGGCGCAAAUAGCCUAUGACCCGUAGAUUUCCGAAUGGGGAAACCCACCUGAGCUAACUCCUCAGGUACUGUAUGGUGAAUCCAUAGCCAUACAGAGGGAGACGUGGGGAACUGAAACAUCUAAGUACCCACAGGAGUAGAAAUCAAUUGAGAUUCCGCAAGUAGUGGCGAGCGAACGCGGAAGAGGCCAAACCAGUGGACUUCGGUCCAUUGGGGUUGCGGACCGGUAUAAUGAUUCACAAAGUCUAGCGGAAUGAGCGGUUGGAAAACCGAGCCCAUAGAGGGUAAAAGUCCCGUACGCGAAAGAUGGCGUGACAGACCGGUAUCCAGAGUACCACGAGACACGGGAAAUCUUGUGGGAAGCCGGGAGGACCACCUUCCAAGCCUAAAUACUACCUGGUGACCGAUAGUGGAGCAGUACCGUGAGGGAAAGGUGAAAAGAACCCCGGGAGGGGAGUGAAAGAGAACCUGAAACCCUGUGCUUACAAGCAGUCGGAGGACGUUAAAGUCUGACGGCGUACUUUUUGUAGAACGGUCCGGCGAGUUAUUGUAUAUGGCGAGGUUAAGUGCUUAAGGCACGGAGCCGCAGCGAGAGCGAGUCUUAAAAGGGCGUAUAGUCAUGUGCAAUAGACCCGAAACCGGGUGACCUAUCCAUGGACAGGCUGAAGUUGGAGUAAAAUCCAAUGGAGGGCCGAACCCACUCCCGUUGAAAAGGUAGGGGAUGAGCUGUGGAUAGGGGAGAAAUUCCAAUCGAACUCGGAGAUAGCUGGUUCUCCUCGAAAUAGCUUUAGGGCUAGCCUCAGAUUAGUCUAGCGGAGGUAAAGCACUGAAUGGGCUAGGGGCCUUACCGGGUUACCGAACCCUAUCAAACUCUGAAUGCCGCAUAGAUGAUGUCUGGGAGUCAGACUACGUGAGAUAAGUUUCGUAGUCAAAAGGGAAACAGCCCAGAUCGCCGACUAAGGUCCCAAAAUCAUGGUUAAGUGGAAAAGGAUGUGGGCUUGCUAAGACAACUAGGAUGUUGGCUUAGAAGCAGCCAUUCAUUCAAAGAGUGCGUAAUAGCUCACUAGUCGAGUGAGCCCGCGCCGAAAAUUACCGGGGCUAAACCAUGUACCGAAGUCGCGGAUGUGAGUGAGUUUUUCUGAUGAUUCAUUCUGAAGGAGAAUUGUGGCGGCAGCGAAGCUGGCGACACUAAAUUCCUUAAAAGCUAAAGCGCGUACCGAAUGAGUCGUGAGAAAAACUCACUCACGUGGUAGAGGAGCUUAGCAUAUGGACUGAAGCAUGACUGUAAGGACAUGUGGACUGUAUGCUAGUGAGAAUGCCGGAAUGAGUAGCGAGAGUGAAGUGAGAAUCUUUACCGCCGAAAAUCUCAGGUUUCCUGGGGAAGGUUCGUCCGCCCAGGGUAAGUCGGGACCUAAGCUGAGGCCGAAAGGCGUAGGCGAUGGACAACAGGUUGAUAUUCCUGUACCACCGAUGUUCGUUUGAGAGAAGCGGGGACGCAGGGGGAUAGGUCGUGCCGGCUGCUGGAAUAGCCGGUCCAAGCGAGGUAGAUAGUCCUGUAGUUAAGUACGCAGGACGUUUCGAAGGCGUGACGGGGAGGGAAAUUAGAGUACCGAAGUGACUGAUUCCGCACUGACGAGAAAAUCCGCUAUCGAGAACAAAGGUGCCCGUACCGCAAACCGACACAGGUAGAUGAGGAGAGAAUCCUAAGGCGAUCGGAAGAAGGGUUGUUAAGGAACUCGGCAAAUUGAUCCCGUAAGUUAGCAAGAAGGGAUGCCUCUGGAAACAGAGGCCGCAGAGAAUAGGCCCAGGCAACUGUUUAUCAAAAACACAGGUCUCUGCUAAAUCGUAAGAUGAAGUAUAGGGGCUGACGCCUGCCCGGUGCUGGAAGGUUACGGGGAUUUGUUAGCGCAAGCGAAGCAAUGAACUUAAGCCCCAGUAAACGGCGGCCGUAACUAUAACGGUCCUAAGGUAGCGAAAUUCCUUGUCAGGUAAGUUCU